CAACAGAAAACGUCCUGGAAGUCUGGAGGCGCGUCUUCUGCGGCAUCCAGAUUACUCCCAUCUGGUGCAAACCCGGUGCGCGCCGCUGCUGCCUCUUAUUCCAGGACUAAUUUCAGUCAGCGCUUUGAACCCCGAGCGCACUGCGUUGUGGCGGAGUGUAAGUGAGUGCGUUAAGUUCGAACUAGGAGCCUGAAUACGGUUUAUAUUUUAACAACGCCAAAUACAACAAAGUAUUUUGGCCAUUUCUGUUCAGCAAGAGGACUUAGAAGUAGGAUCGCACCAUGGAUACGGUCGGCGACUCUAUCGGAGAAAGUAAGCCGGUGUGCCAGUGUACCCCCAAGUCCCGGAGCCAGCGAUGGGUGCCAGGUUUCCCCAUCGCUCUGUGCUUGCUGAUGUCGAUGAGCUCCAUCACCGUGUGUCUUCUGAUGAGCUUGAAGACCUAUCAGCUGGAGAACCGACUGCAGAUGGAGUUGGACAAGGCGUCUAUCUUCCAACACCCGAAAAGGGCGUUCGUAAACGAGGAUGGGACCCUACUGUCAGAGUUGAGCACCCCAAUAGGAAAGCUCGUGGAAGAGAAAGUGGUGGCUCUGACGCCAAAAGUGCGGCCAGCGAGGGAUGUUGGCCAAGAGUGCUCCUGUCCUCCAGGUAUGUGUUUCAAGUUGGCUCCACCUCCCCUUCCCAUCUCUCUUUUCAUU
ensembl:lncRNA